AGAGUUUGAUCCUGGCUCAGGACGAACGCUGGCGGCGUGCUUAACACAUGCAAGUCGAACGGAAAGGCCCUUCGGGGUACUCGAGUGGCGAACGGGUGAGUAACACGUGGGUGAUCUGCCCUGCACUUUGGGAUAAGCCUGGGAAACUGGGUCUAAUACCGAAUAUGACCAUGCGCCUCCUGGUGUGUGGUGGAAAGCUUUUGCGGUGUGGGAUGGGCCCGCGGCCUAUCAGCUUGUUGGUGGGGUAAUGGCCUACCAAGGCGACGACGGGUAGCCGGCCUGAGAGGGUGACCGGCCACACUGGGACUGAGAUACGGCCCAGACUCCUACGGGAGGCAGCAGUGGGGAAUAUUGCACAAUGGGCGCAAGCCUGAUGCAGCGACGCCGCGUGAGGGAUGACGGCCUUCGGGUUGUAAACCUCUUUCAGCACAGACGAAGCGCAAGCGACGGUAUGUGCAGAAGAAGGACCGGCCAACUACGUGCCAGCAGCCGCGGUAAUACGUAGGGUCCGAGCGUUGUCCGGAAUUACUGGGCGUAAAGAGCUCGUAGGUGGUUUGUCGCGUUGUUCGUGAAAACUCACAGCUUAACUGUGGGCGUGCGGGCGAUACGGGCAGACUUGAGUACUGCAGGGGAGACUGGAAUUCCUGGUGUAGCGGUGGAAUGCGCAGAUAUCAGGGGGAACACCGGUGGCGAAGGCGGGUCUCUGGGCAGUAACUGACGCUGAGGAGCGAAAGCGUGGGGAGCGAACAGGAUUAGAUACCCCGGUAGUCC
rnacentral:rRNA from 1 species